rnacentral:ncRNA from 1 species
GUAAAGUUUGAUUCUAACUUAAAAAAAGUUCAUUUUUCAGUGGUUGUACAUGUGAGUAUUUGCUUGAUUCUUGCUCUUAAUGGGAAAAUUACAAUUAUUUGCAGUAUUUUAUUUUAUUUUUUAAGUUUUUUUAGAAAUAGCCGAUUGAAUUUAGCUCUGACUUAAGUUGUGCCAGCAGUCGCGGUUAUACAACAAGGGCGAGUGAAUUUUUUUGGAUUUUAUUCAAUUUGUUUAAAUUUAUUGAAAGUUUAGAUUUUUCAGGUGAAAUUGAAGAGUUUAUGUAAAGAUAUGGUUUAUGAUGGAAAUAUGAAGAUUUAUUGUGAGACUAGGAUUAGAUACCCUAUUAUUAUUGAUUGUAAAAUUUUAGGUCCUUGUUAUUAAUAGUUGUAUUCUUAAAAUUAAAAGAAUUUGGCGGUAACUUAGUCCUUUCAGAGGAAUCUGCCCUGUGAUUGAUGUCCCACGAUUGAUUUUACUCUAUUUGAGCUUGUAUAUCUCUGUCAUUGGAUGUUUUAUUAGAAUUUAUUUUCCUCUAAUUUUAUGAAAGUAAUGUCAGGUCAAGGUGCAGCUGUAAUGGAGAAGAGGUGGAUUACAAUAAAUUUAUUUAUGGAUUAAUUGAAUGCUGGAAAGUUGGUUGUUUAUGAAAUUGGAUUUGAUCGUAAUUAUUAUUAAUAUAUAAUUUUGAUUUUGGCUCUAAGUUAUGCACACAUCGCCCGUCACUCUCAUUAAUUGAUAUGAGAUAAGUCGUAACAAAGUAGACCUACUGGAAGGUAGGCCUGGCGAGAUA